rnacentral:rRNA from 1 species
GACGAACGCUGGCGGCGUGCCUAAUACAUGCAAGUAGAACGCUGAAGAGAGGAGCUUGCUCUUCUUGGCUGAGUUGCGAACGGGUGAGUAACGCGUAGGUAACCUGCCUUGUAGCGGGGGAUAACUAUUGGAAACGAUAGCUAAUACCGCAUAACAAUGGAUGACACAUGUCAUUUAUUUGAAAGGGGCAAUUGCUCCACUACAAGAUGGACCUGCGUUGUAUUAGCUAGUAGGUGAGGUAAUGGCUCACCUAGGCGACGAUACAUAGCCGACCUGAGAGGGUGAGCGGCCACACUGGAACUGAGACACGGCCCAGACUCCUACGGGAUGCAGCAGUAGGGAAUCUUCGGCAAUGGGGGCAACCCUGACCGAGCAACGCCGCGUGAGUGAAGAAGGUUUUCGGAUCGUAAAGCUCUGUUGUAAGUCAAGAACGGGUGUGAGAGUGGAAAGUUCACACUGUGACGGUAGCUUACCAGAAAGGGACGGCUAACUACGUG